rnacentral:rRNA from 1 species
CCGCCUCUGCUAAAGAGGGAGGAAGGAAUGGGGCAACGGUAGGUCAGCAUGCCCCGAAUUAUCUGGGCUACACGCGGGCUACAAUGGGUGGGACAAUGGGUAUCGACACCGAAAGGUGAAGGCAAUCUCCUAAACCCAUCCGUAGUUCGGAUUGUGGGCUGCAACUCGCCCACAUGAAGCUGGAAUCUGUAGUAAUCGUGUCUCAAAAUGGCACGGUGAAUAUGUCCCUGCUCCUU